rnacentral:piRNA from 1 species
UGCAAAUAGUAGAAAUUCUCAUUUCCAAGUC